UGAUCCUGGCUCAGGACGAACGCUGGCGGCGUGCCUAAUACAUGCAAGUCGAACGCUUUUUCUUUCACCGGAGCUUGCUCCACCGAAAGAAAAAGAGUGGCGAACGGGUGAGUAACACGUGGGUAACCUGCCCAUCAGAAGGGGAUAACACUUGGAAACAGGUGCUAAUACCGUAUAACACUAUUUUCCGCAUGGAAGAAAGUUGAAAGGCGCUUUUGCGUCACUGAUGGAUGGACCCGCGGUGCAUUAGCUAGUUGGUGAGGUAACGGCUCACCAAGGCAACGAUGCAUAGCCGACCUGAGAGGGUGAUCGGCCACACUGGGACUGAGACACGGCCCAGACUCCUACGGGAGGCAGCAGUAGGGAAUCUUCGGCAAUGGACGAAAGUCUGACCGAGCAACGCCGCGUGAGUGAAGAAGGUUUUCGGAUCGUAAAACUCUGUUGUUAGAGAAGAACAAGGAUGAGAGUAAAAUGUUCAUCCCUUGACGGUAUCUAACCAGAAAGCCACGGCUAACUACGUGCCAGCAGCCGCGGUAAUACGUAGGUGGCAAGCGUUGUCCGGAUUUAUUGGGCGUAAAGCGAGCGCAGGCGGUUUCUUAAGUCUGAUGUGAAAGCCCCCGGCUCAACCGGGGAGGGUCAUUGGAAACUGGGAGACUUGAGUGCAGAAGAGGAGAGUGGAAUUCCAUGUGUAGCGGUGAAAUGCGUAGAUAUAUGGAGGAACACCAGUGGCGAAGGCGGCUCUCUGGUCUGUAACUGACGCUGAGGCUCGAAAGCGUGGGGAGCGAACAGGAUUAGAUACCCUGGUAGUCCACGCCGUAAACGAUGAGUGCUAAGUGUUGGAGGGUUUCCGCCCUUCAGUGCUGCAGC
rnacentral:rRNA from 1 species